AUUGAACGCUGGCGGCAUGCUUUACACAUGCAAGUCGAACGGUAACAGGCCGCAAGGUGCUGACGAGUGGCGAACGGGUGAGUAAUGCAUCGGAACGUGCCCAGUCGUGGGGGAUAACGCAGCGAAAGCUGCGCUAAUACCGCAUACGAUCUCUGGAUGAAAGCGGGGGACCGAAAGGCCUCGCGCGAUUGGAGCGGCCGAUGUCAGAUUAGGUAGUUGGUGGGGUAAAGGCCCACCAAGCCAACGAUCUGUAGCUGGUCUGAAAGGAAGACCAGCCACAAUGGGACGGGGACACGGCCCAGACUCCUACGGGAGGAAGCAGUGGGGAAUUUUGGACAAUGGGCGCAAGCCUGAUCCAGCAAUGCCGCGUGCAGGAAGAAGGCCUUCGGGUUGUAAACUGCUUUUGUACGGAACGAAACGGUCCGGGUUAAUACCCUGGGCUAAUGACGGUACCGUAAGAAUAAGCACCGGCUAACUACGUGCCAGCAGCCGCCGUAACAC
rnacentral:rRNA from 1 species